rnacentral:rRNA from 1 species
AGAGUUUGAUUCUGGCUCAGAUUGAACGCUGGCGGCAUGCCUUACACAUGCAAGUCGAACGGUAACAGGUUAAGCUGACGAGUGGCGAACGGGUGAGUAAUAUAUCGGAACGUGCCCAGUCGUGGGGGAUAACUGCUCGAAAGAGCAGCUAAUACCGCAUACGACCUGAGGGUGAAAGCGGGGGAUCGCAAGACCUCGCGCGAUUGGAGCGGCCGAUAUCAGAUUAGGUAGUUGGUGGGGUAAAGGCCCACCAAGCCAACGAUCUGUAGCUGGUCUGAGAGGACGACCAGCCACACUGGGACUGAGACACGGCCCAGACUCCUACGGGAGGCAGCAGUGGGGAAUUUUGGACAAUGGGCGCAAGCCUGAUCCAGCCAUGCCGCGUGCGGGAGGAAGGCCUUCGGGUUGUAAACCGCUUUUGUCAGGGAAGAAAAGGUUCUGGUUAAUACCUGGGACUCAUGACGGUACCUGAAGAAUAAGCACCGGCUAACUACGUGCCAGCAGCCGCGGUAAUACGUAGGGUGCAAGCGUUAAUCGGAAUUACAGGGCGUAAAGCGUGCGCAGGCGGUUAUGCAAGACAGAGGUGAAAUCCCCGGGCUCAACCUGGGAACUGCCUUUGUGACUGCAUGGCUAGAGUACGGUAGAGGGGGAUGGAAUUCCGCGUGUAGCAGUGAAAUGCGUAGAUAUGCGGAGGAACACCGAUGGCGAAGGCAAUCCCCUGGACCUGUACUGACGCUCAUGCACGAAAGCGUGGGGAGCAAGCAGGAUUAGACACCCUGGUAGUCCACGCCCUAAACGAUGUCAACUGGUUGUUGGGAGGGUUUCUUCUCAGUAACGUAGCUAACGCGUGAAGUUGACCGCCUGGGGAGUACGGCCGCAAGGUUGAAACUCAAAGGAAUUGACGGGGACCCGCACAAGCGGUGGAUGAUGUGGUUUAAUUCGAUGCAACGCGAAAAACCUUACCUACCCUUGACAUGCCAGGAAUCCUGAAGAGAUUUGGGAGUGCUCGAAAGAGAGCCUGGACACAGGUGCUGCAUGGCCGUCGUCAGCUCGUGUCGUGAGAUGUUGGGUUAAGUCCCGCAACGAGCGCAACCCUUGUCAUUAGUUGCUACGAAAGGGCACUCUAAUGAGACUGCCGGUGACAAACCGGAGGAAGGUGGGGAUGACGUCAGGUCAUCAUGGCCCUUAUGGGUAGGGCUACACACGUCAUACAAUGGCCGGGACAGAGGGCUGCCAACCCGCGAGGGGGAGCUAAUCCCAGAAACCCGGUCGUAGUCCGGAUCGUAGUCUGCAACUCGACUGCGUGAAGUCGGAAUCGCUAGUAAUCGCGGAUCAGCUUGCCGCGGUGAAUACGUUCCCGGGUCUUGCACUCACCGCCCGUC